UACGGAGGGUGCAAGCGUUAUCCGGAUUUACUGGGUUUAAAGGGUGUGUAGGCGGGUCUUUAAGUCAGUGGUGAAAUCUCCGAGCUCAACUUGGAAACUGCCAUUGAUACUAUUGAUCUUGAAUUUUGUUGAGGUAGGCGGAAUAAGUCAUGUAGCGGUGAAAUGCAUAGAUAUGACUUAGAACACCAAUUGCGAAGGCAGCUUGCUAAACAAAUAUUGACGCUGAGACGCGAAAGCGUGGGGAGCGAACAGG
rnacentral:rRNA from 1 species